GAUGAACGCUGGCGGCGUGCCUAAUACAUGCAAGUCGAGCGAACAGACGAGGAGCUUGCUCCUCUGACGUUAGCGGCGGACGGGUGAGUAACACGUGGAUAACCUACCUAUAAGACUGGGAUAACUUCGGGAAACCGGAGCUAAUACCGGAUAAUAUUUUAAACCCCAUGGUUAAUAAGUAAAAACGGUUUUUCCUGUACUUAUUAGAGGAUCCCGCGCCGAAUUAGCUAGUUGGUAAGGUAACGCCUUACCAAGGCAACGAUGCGUAGCCGACCUGAGAGGGUGAUCGGCCACACUGGAACUGAGACACGGUCCAGACUCCUACGGGAGGCAGCAGUAGGGAAUCUUCCGCAAUGGGCGAAAGCCUGACGGAGCAACGCCGCGUGAGUGAUGAAGGUCUUCGGAUCGUAAAACUCUGUUAUUAGGGAAGAACAAAUGUGUAAGUAACUAUGCACGUCUUGACGGUACCUAAUCAGAAAGCCACGGCUAACUACGUG
rnacentral:rRNA from 1 species